AGAACGAACGCUGGCGGCAGGCUUAACACAUGCAAGUCGAGCGCCCCGGCAACGGGGAGCGGCAGACGGGUGAGUAACGCGUGGGAACGUACCCUCCGGUUCGGAAUAACUCAGGGAAACUUGAGCUAACACCGGAUACGGCAUUUCCAAGAGAAAUCUUGGCGGCGAAAGAUUUAUCGCCGGAGGAUCGGCCCGCGUCCGAUUAGCUAGUUGGUGUGGUAAUGGCGCACCAAGGCGACGAUCGGUAGCUGGUCUGAGAGGAUGAUCAGCCACAUUGGGACUGAGACACGGCCCAAACUCCUACGGGAGGCAGCAGUGGGGAAUAUUGGACAAUGGGCGCAAGCCUGAUCCAGCCAUGCCGCGUGAGUGAUGAAGGCCUUAGGGUUGUAAAGCUCUUUCGCCCACGACGAUAAUGACGGUAGUGGGAGAAGAAGCCCGGCUAACUUCGCGCCAGCAGCCGC
rnacentral:rRNA from 1 species